rnacentral:misc_RNA from 1 species
GAUGAAGAACGCAGCGAAACGCGAUAAGUAAUGUGAAUUGCAGAAUUCAGUGAAUCAUCGAAUCUUUGAACGCACAUUGCGCCCACUAGUAUUCUGGUGGGCAUGCCUGUUCGAGCGUCAUUUCAACCCUCAAGCCUGGCUUGGUGUUGGGGCUCUGCGUCUGCAGUCCCUUAAAUCCAGUGGCGGACACGCUAGGUCUCCGAGCGCAGUAGUUUCUCCUCGCUCAGGGCGUCCGGCGUGGGCUUGCCUCGCACCCAUCUUUUACAAGGUUGACCUCGGAUCAGGUAGGAAUACCCGCUGAACUUAAGCAUAUCAAUAAGCGGAGGA